GACGAACGCUGGCGGCGUGCUUAACACAUGCAAGUCGAACGGUAAGGCCCUUUCGGGGGUACACGAGUGGCGAACGGGUGAGUAACACGUGGGUAAUCUGCCCUGCACUCUGGGAUAAGCCUGGGAAACUGGGUCUAAUACCGGAUAUGAGCCUUCAUCGCAUGGUGGGGGUUGGAAAGUUUUUUCGGUGCAGGAUGUGCCCGCGGCCUAUCAGCUUGUUGGUGGGGUAAUGGCCUACCAAGGCGACGACGGGUAGCCGGCCUGAGAGGGUGAUCGGCCACACUGGGACUGAGACACGGCCCAGACUCCUACGGGAGGCAGCAGUGGGGAAUAUUGCACAAUGGGCGGAAGCCUGAUGCAGCGACGCCGCGUGGGGGAUGACGGUCUUCGGAUUGUAAACCCCUUUCAGUAGGGACGAAGCGCAAGUGACGGUACCUGCAGAAGAAGCACCGGCCAACUACGUGCCAGCAGCCGCGGUAAAGUC
rnacentral:rRNA from 1 species